UACGUAGGGACCAAGCGUUGUUCGGAUUUACUGGGCGUAAAGGGCGCGUAGGCGGCAAAUUAAGUCAGCUGGGAAAUCUCCGAGCUUAACUCGGAACGGUCAGGUGAUACUGAUCUGCUAGAGUGCGGAAGGGGCAAUCGGAAUUCUUGGUGUAGCGGUGAAAUGCGUAGAUAUCAAGAGGAACACCUGAGGUGAAGACGGGUUGCUGGGCCGACACUGACGCUGACAGCGCGAAAGCCAGGGGAGCAAACGGG
rnacentral:rRNA from 1 species